AACCAGUUGUCAAAACAGUUUAUCAGAUUAAUUCACGGAAUGUUACUUAUCUUAUAUAUUAUAUAAAAUAUGAAUCAUACUAAGUGGUGGAAGCGCGGAAUCUCGGAUCUAAACUAAUUGUUCAGGCAUUUAUACUUUUGGUAGUUCAGCUAGGGAAGGACGGGUUUUAUCUCAUGUUGUUCGUUUUGUUAUAAGGUUGUUUCAUAUGUGUUUUAUGAACGUUUAGGAUGA
rnacentral:tRNA from 1 species